AUAGAUAGAUAUAUGAAUCGAGAUUAAAAUAGAUAGAUAUAGAAGGAGAUUCUUUCAGUCCAGUCAUGGAUAGAAAAAGAAGAGGGUAGAAAUAUCUGCCGACUCAUCCAUCCAAACACUCGUGGUAGAGAAACGAUCAAUUUUAAACCGCAGUGACUGUAUGAAUGAUGCGGGAGAUAUUUUUGAUCCUUCUUUAUCUGUGUUUGGACUGAAGGGAGCUCCUUCUUUUUCUACAAUUUUUUCAUUUUUUUCUCAUCAUCUGUUUAU
rnacentral:pre_miRNA from 1 species